AGUAACCUGCCUUGGAGUGGGGAAUAACACAGUGAAAAUUGUGCUAAUACCGCAUAAUGCAUUUGGAUCGCAUGGUUCUGAAUGCCAAAGAUUUAUCGCUCUGAGAUGGACUCGCGUCUGAUUAGCUAGUUGGCGGGGCAACGGCCCACCAAGGCGACGAUCAGUAGCCGGACUGAGAGGUUGAACGGCCACAUUGGGACUGAGACACGGCCCAG
rnacentral:rRNA from 1 species